GACGAACGCUGGCGGCGUGCUUAACACAUGCAAGUCGAACGGAAAGGCCCUGCUUGCAGGGUACUCGAGUGGCGAACGGGUGAGUAACACGUGGGUGAUCUGCCCUGCACUUCGGGAUAAGCCUGGGAAACUGGGUCUAAUACCGGAUAGGAGCCAUUUUUAGUGUGAUGGUUGGAAAGUUUUUUCGGUGUAGGAUGAGCUCGCGGCCUAUCAGCCUGUUGGUGGGGUAAUGGCCUACCAAGGCGGCGACGGGUAGCCGGCCUGAGAGGGUGGACGGCCACAUUGGGACUGAGAUACGGCCCAGACUCCUACGGGAGGCAGCAGUGGGGAAUAUUGCACAAUGGGCGCAAGCCUGAUGCAGCGACGCCGCGUGGGGGAUGACGGCCUUCGGGUUGUAAACUCCUUUCGCUAGGGACGAAGCUUUUUGUGACGGUACCUAGAUAAGAAGCACCGGCUAACUACGUG
rnacentral:rRNA from 1 species